UGCUGCAAAAGCAACAAAGACACAAACCAAAAGAAAACUUUUCAUUUUCUCUUUUUCUCGUUUUUUCGAAAAAAAAGAAAAGAAAAAAAAGGUCACA
rnacentral:ribozyme from 13 species